GGUUAAGCGACUAAGCGUACACGGUGGAUGCCCUGGCAGUCAGAGGCGAUGAAGGACGUGCUAAUCUGCGAUAAGCGUCGGUAAGGUGAUAUGAACCGUUAUAACCGGCGAUUUCCGAAUGGGGAAACCCAGUGUGUUUCGACACACUAUCAUUAACUGAAUCCAUAGGUUAAUGAGGCGAACCGGGGGAACUGAAACAUCUAAGUACCCCGAGGAAAAGAAAUCAACCGAGAUUCCCCCAGUAGCGGCGAGCGAACGGGGAGCAGCCCAGAGCCUGAAUCAGUGUGUGUGUUAGUGGAAGCGUCUGGAAAGGCGCGCGAUACAGGGUGACAGCCCCGUACACAAAAAUACACAUACUGUGAGCUCGAUGAGUAGGGCGGGACACGUGGUAUCCUGUCUGAAUAUGGGGGGACCAUCCUCCAAGGCUAAAUACUCCUGACUGACCGAUAGUGAACCAGUACCGUGAGGGAAAGGCGAAAAGAACCCCGGCGAGGGGAGUGAAAAAGAACCUGAAACCGUGUACGUACAAGCAGUGGGAGCACAGAGCAAUCUGUGUGACUGCGUACCUUUUGUAUAAUGGGUCAGCGACUUAUAUUCUGUAGCAAGGUUAACCGAAUAGGGGAGCCGAAGGGAAACCGAGUCUUAACUGGGCGUUAAGUUGCAGGGUAUAGACCCGAAACCCGGUGAUCUAGCCAUGGGCAGGUUGAAGGUUGGGUAACACUAACUGGAGGACCGAACCGACUAAUGUUGAAAAAUUAGCGGAUGACUUGUGGCUGGGGGUGAAAGGCCAAUCAAACCGGGAGAUAGCUGGUUCUCCCCGAAAGCUAUUUAGGUAGCGCCUCGUGAAUUCAUCUCCGGGGGUAGAGCACUGUUUCGGCAAGGGGGUCAUCCCGACUUACCAACCCGAUGCAAACUGCGAAUACCGGAGAAUGUUAUCACGGGAGACACACGGCGGGUGCUAACGUCCGUCGUGAAGAGGGAAACAACCCAGACCGCCAGCUAAGGUCCCAAAGUCAUGGUUAAGUGGGAAACGAUGUGGGAAGGCCCAGACAGCCAGGAUGUUGGCUUAGAAGCAGCCAUCAUUUAAAGAAAGCGUAAUAGCUCACUGGUCGAGUCGGCCUGCGCGGAAGAUGUAACGGGGCUAAACCAUGCACCGAAGCUGCGGCAGCGACGCUUAUGCGUUGUUGGGUAGGGGAGCGUUCUGUAAGCCUGCGAAGGUGUGCUGUGAGGCAUGCUGGAGGUAUCAGAAGUGCGAAUGCUGACAUAAGUAACGAUAAAGCGGGUGAAAAGCCCGCUCGCCGGAAGACCAAGGGUUCCUGUCCAACGUUAAUCGGGGCAGGGUGAGUCGACCCCUAAGGCGAGGCCGAAAGGCGUAGUCGAUGGGAAACAGGUUAAUAUUCCUGUACUUGGUGUUACUGCGAAGGGGGGACGGAGAAGGCUAUGUUGGCCGGGCGACGGUUGUCCCGGUUUAAGCGUGUAGGCUGGUUUUCCAGGCAAAUCCGGAAAAUCAAGGCUGAGGCGUGAUGACGAGGCACUACGGUGCUGAAGCAACAAAUGCCCUGCUUCCAGGAAAAGCCUCUAAGCAUCAGGUAACAUCAAAUCGUACCCCAAACCGACACAGGUGGUCAGGUAGAGAAUACCAAGGCGCUUGAGAGAACUCGGGUGAAGGAACUAGGCAAAAUGGUGCCGUAACUUCGGGAGAAGGCACGCUGAUAUGUAGGUGAAGUCCCUCGCGGAUGGAGCUGAAAUCAGUCGAAGAUACCAGCUGGCUGCAACUGUUUAUUAAAAACACAGCACUGUGCAAACACGAAAGUGGACGUAUACGGUGUGACGCCUGCCCGGUGCCGGAAGGUUAAUUGAUGGGGUUAGCGCAAGCGAAGCUCUUGAUUGAAGCCCCGGUAAACGGCGGCCGUAACUAUAACGGUCCUAAGGUAGCGAAAUUCCUUGUCGGGUAAGUUCCGACCUGCACGAAUGGCGUAAUGAUGGCCAGGCUGUCUCCACCCGAGACUCAGUGAAAUUGAACUCGCUGUGAAGAUGCAGUGUACCCGCGGCAAGACGGAAAGACCCCGUGAACCUUUACUAUAGCUUGACACUGAACAUUGAGCCUUGAUGUGUAGGAUAGGUGGGAGGCUUUGAAGUGUGGACGCCAGUCUGCAUGGAGCCGACCUUGAAAUACCACCCUUUAAUGUUUGAUGUUCUAACGUUGACCCGUGAUCCGGGUUGCGGACAGUGUCUGGUGGGUAGUUUGACUGGGGCGGUCUCCUCCUAAAGAGUAACGGAGGAGCACGAAGGUUGGCUAAUCCUGGUCGGACAUCAGGAGGUUAGUGCAAUGGCAUAAGCCAGCUUGACUGCGAGCGUGACGGCGCGAGCAGGUGCGAAAGCAGGUCAUAGUGAUCCGGUGGUUCUGAAUGGAAGGGCCAUCGCUCAACGGAUAAAAGGUACUCCGGGGAUAACAGGCUGAUACCGCCCAAGAGUUCAUAUCGACGGCGGUGUUUGGCACCUCGAUGUCGGCUCAUCACAUCCUGGGGCUGAAGUAGGUCCCAAGGGUAUGGCUGUUCGCCAUUUAAAGUGGUACGCGAGCUGGGUUUAGAACGUCGUGAGACAGUUCGGUCCCUAUCUGCCGUGGGCGCUGGAGAACUGAGGGGGGCUGCUCCUAGUACGAGAGGACCGGAGUGGACGCAUCACUGGUGUUCGGGUUGUCAUGCCAAUGGCACUGCCCGGUAGCUAAAUGCGGAAGAGAUAAGUGCUGAAAGCAUCUAAGCACGAAACUUGCCCCGAGAUGAGUUCUCCCUGACUCCUUGAGAGUCCUGAAGGAACGUUGAAGACGACGACGUUGAUAGGCCGGGUGUGUAAGCGCAGCGAUGCGUUGAGCUAACCGGUACUAAUGAACCGUGAGGCUUAACCUU
rnacentral:rRNA from 1 species